CCUACGGGAGGCAGCAGUGAGGAAUAUUGGUCAAUGGACGAGAGUCUGAACCAGCCAAGUAGCGUGAAGGAUGACUGCCCUAUGGGUUGUAAACUUCUUUUAUAUGGGAAUAAAACGUUCCACGUGUGGGAUUUUGUAUGUACCAUAUGAAUAAGGAUCGGCUAACUCCGUGCCAGCAGCCGCGGUAAUACGGAGGAUCCGAGCGUUAUCCGGAUUUAUUGGGUUUAAAGGGAGCGUAGGUGGAUUGUUAAGUCAGUUGUGAAAGUUUGCGGCUCAACCGUAAAAUUGCAGUUGAAACUGGCAGUCUUGAGUACAGUAGAGGUUGGCGGAAUUCGUGGUGUAGCGGUGAAAUGCUUAGAUAUCACGAAGAACUCCGAUUGCGAAGGCAGUUCACUGGACUGCAACUGACACUGAGGCUCGAAAGUGUGGGUAUCAAACAGGAUUAGAUACCCGUGUAGUC
rnacentral:rRNA from 1 species